UAGACCUAAUAUCAAAUGGACAGGCCCUUAGAGAGAAAUUCUGGCAUGCCGCAUAUGAAAGAGAGAGAUGGAGCUAGAUGAGUCAACGUCAAAAUCAUAUGAUCAAAACAUUGAACUCACAUUCAGAAAAUCGCUAAUUUUUCUCUCAUUCUGAAUUGAACACAUAGUUAAUCUGAUUGAUUCGAUUUGUAAAAGUGUUGAACAUUCUAAUAAAAGGAAUUAGCGAAUCCAUCUGCUAUUGCGAAAUUCAAAGCACCAAAAGAACUAAUUUUCAAAUAAAAUGCCUCACACUCGUGCAGCCUUCAAUUGUACAGCGAAAUUAGAAAAAAGCCAAAAGUUGAAAUUUCAUUCUUCACAGUUUUCCAAAGGAUGCGAAUUAAGGGAACAGUAGAUGAAAGCUGAAGAAGAAUUGAUUUCAAACCUUUUUCCUUGUUGAAAAUAUGCAGCAACCGUUUUCAUCAACAUAAUUUAUUAAUAUUCAUGGUACAAAAACUCUGAAAAAAGAUGUUAUUCCUUCAGUUUUCAGUUUCUCCAAUUAUAUGCCUGAGAGAUUAAAUUAUGGAGAUAAAUGUCUUGAAGAUAAUAUUGAAGGUACAUUAAUAUUUUAUUUUUUAUGGAUGUGAAAUAUCUAUUUAUUUUCCGUCCCUUAUUUUAUUCAUUCAUAUAAAUAAUUAUUGCAAAAGAAAUUGAACAGGACCAGCCAGAGACAAAACAGCAAGAGAUGGGGCAACCAGAGACGGUACAACUGUUUAUAAUAUCAAAAUCCUCUGCUGCUGCCAUGGAAGAUUUUUCCCCCAGAUUGAAUACUAAUAUUAGAAAUACUAGAAAUUAGAAACCUGGGAAUGAGGAUUUCCAAGAAUGGAACACUAGACGAAGUAAUAUCUGAGAGAAACAUCCAAAGAAAACCAAUAAUCUCAAUGUUAAAUAGGAUAUUAUCGAUUAAAAACAUAAAUGUGAAUAAUAAGAAAAAAUGUACUCAAUAAUUAGGAGCAUAAUAACAUACAGCUCUGAAGUGAACAGCAGCUGGAAAAUCUGAAAGGGACAUGAUACCAAAUGAUACAAUAAGACAUAGAAUGGAAAUAAGACAUGAUAUUAUUGAUCUAAAGAACACAACAGUUGGUUUGGUACAGACAAGUCCAUAAAUACUGAUGAUACUAGGUGUGAUUUAAACGAUAAUAAUUUUUUAGAUUGCCAUACUAAAUGAGGAACAUAUUCUGUGCCGUGGCUUAAAAAUUCAUCUUUAGGGAAGCUCAUUCACUGAAAGGCUGAAAAUGGGAAAAAUGAAUGUAUCAUAACUGAUCCUUGGAGAGAUAAGGAGAAGAAGAUUCAUAAAUUUCAAGAUUUGGAGGAGUUUAGAACUAAGAAGAGGAAGAGCUCAAUCCUGAUAUUUUUCAAUAUCCUGGAUAUUAAAUGAUUGGAAGAGUGAAUAUCCUCCUUAGUGGAGAGUGAGAAAUCCGACUGCGAAUAUGUUCUUCCUCAUGCGCUGAUAGGCUAGAGUCGGACCAUUUUUUAAAUCAUUUAUUGUAAUAAUGUAUUUUGAACAGCAAUGAACACUUAAUGAAUACAAUUCUUCAUAAAC